CCUACGGGAGGCAGCAGUAGGGAAUUUUCGGCAAUGGGGGGAACCCUGACCGAGCAACGCCGCGUGAACGAAGAAGUUAUUCGUAAUGUAAAGUUCUUUUAACAGGGAAGAAAGAGAAAUUUGACGGUACCUGAAGAAUAAGCUCCGGCAAACUACGUGCCAGCAGCCGCGGUAAUACGUAGGGAGCGAGCGUUAUCCGGAAUGAUUGGGCGAAAAGGGUGCGUAGAUGGCAUAGUAAGUCUUUUGUAAAAAUGCUGGGCUCAACCCAGUAGGGCAAAAGAUACUGCAAAGCUAGAGUAUGAGAGAGGCAAGUGGAACUACAUGUGUAGCGGUAAAAUGCGUAAAUAUAUGUAAGAACACCAGUGGCGAAGGCGGCUUGCUGGGUCGAUACUGACAUUGAGGCACGAAAGCGUGGGGAGCAAACAGGAUUAGAUACCCGAGUAGUC
rnacentral:rRNA from 1 species